AUUGAGAGACAGGGGCGUCCGUCGAUGACGGGCUGAGAAGCACCCUUUGAACCUGAACCAGAUCAUGCUGGCGGAGGGAGUCGCUCGGGGUCUCGG
rnacentral:ncRNA from 2 species